rnacentral:rRNA from 1 species
UAGGGAAUCUUCCACAAUGGACGCAAGUCUGAUGGAGCAACGCCGCGUGAGUGAAGAAGGUUUUCGGACCGUAAAGCUCUGUUGUUGGUGAAGAAGGAUAGAGGUAGUAACUGGCCUUUAUUUGACGGUAAUCAACCAGAAAGUCACGGCUAACUACGUGCCAGCAGCCGCGGUAAUCGUAGGUGGCAAGCGUUGUCCGGAUUUAUUGGGCGUAAAGCGAGCGCAGGCGGAAGAAUAAGUCUGAUGUGAAAGCCCUCGGCUUAACCGAGGAAUUGCAU